rnacentral:tRNA from 1 species
UCCCUGAUGGUCCAGUGGUUAAGACUCCAUAGUCCCAAUGCAGGGGGCCCAGGUUCAAUCCCUGGUUGGGGUA